rnacentral:rRNA from 1 species
CAGCACCUCAAGUGGUCAGGAUGAUUAUUGGGCCUAAAGCAUCCGUAGCCGGCGCUGUAAGUUUUCGGUUAAAUCUGUACGCUCAACGUACAGGCUGCCGGGAAUACUGCAGCGCUAGGGAGUGGGAGAGGUAGACGGUACUCGGUAGGAAGGGGUAAAAUCCUUUGAUCUAUUGAUGACCACCUGUGGCGAAGGCGGUCUACCAGAACACGUCCGACUGUGAGGGAUGAAAGCUGGGGGAGCAAACCGGAUUAGAGACCCGAGUAGUCC